GAGACUGGGGAUAACACCUGGGAAACAGAUGCUAAUACCCGGAUAACAACACUAGACGCAUGUCUAGAGUUUAAAAGAUGGGUUCUGCUAUCACUCUUGGGAUGGGACCCUGCGGUGCAUUAGCUAGUUGGUAAGGUAACGGGCUUACCAAGGCAAUGAUGCAUAGCCCGAGUUGAGAGACUGAUCGGGCCACAUUGGGGACUGAGACACGGGCCCAAAACUCCUACGGGGAGGCAGCAGUAGGGAAUCCUCCACAAUGGACGCAAGUCUGAUGGAGCAACGCCGCGUGAGUGAAGAAGGGUUUCGGCUCGUAAAGCUCUGUUGGUAGUGAAGAAAGAUAGAGGUAGUAACUGGCCUUUAUUUGACGGUAAUUACUUAGAAGUCACGACUAACUACGUGCCAGCAGCCGCGGUAAU
rnacentral:rRNA from 1 species